rnacentral:tRNA from 1 species
UAUAAACUUAGUUAAAUAAAUAACAUUAGUUUGUCAAUCUAAAAUCACUUAAAAAAGUAGUUUAUAA